AGCUGUGUGGUGUAAUGGUUAUGGUGCCAGACUAGGACUAAGGAAGCCUAGGUUCAAAUCAUUGCUCAGCCG